AUUGAACGCUGGCGGCAGGCCUAACACAUGCAAGUCGAACGAGUGGCGGACGGGUGAGUAAUGUCUGGGAAACUGCCCGAUGGAUGGGGAUAACUACUGGAAACGGUAGCUAAUACCGCAUACCAUCGGAUGGGCCCAGAUGGGAUUAGCUAGUAGGUGGGGUAACGGCUCACCUAGGCGACGAUCCCUAGCUGGUCUGGGAGGAUGACCAGCCACACUGGAACUGAGGCACGGUCCAAACGCCAACGGGAGACAGCAGUGGAGAGUAUGACGCAAUGAGGGAAACCGUGAGACAGCAGCGCCAGGUGCGGGAUGACGGCCUUCGGGUGGUAAACCGCUUUCAGCCAUGACGCGGUAGUGGCAGAAGAAGCACCGGCUAACUACGUGCCAGCAGCCGCGGUAAUAC
rnacentral:rRNA from 1 species